UACGUAGGGGGCAAGCGUUGUCCGGAAUCAUUGGGCGUAAAGAGCGUGUAGGCGGCCCGGUAAGUCCGCCGUGAAAGUCCAGGGCUCAACCCUGGGAUGCCGGUGGAAACUGUCGGGCUAGAGUCCGGAAGAGGCGAGUGGAAUUCCUGGUGUAGCGGUGAAAUGCGCAGAUAUCAGGAGGAACACCAAUGGCGAAGGCAGCUCGCUGGGACGGUACUGACGCUGAUGCGCGAAAGCGUGGGGAGCAAACAGG
rnacentral:rRNA from 1 species